ACGACUCUCGGCAACGGAUAUCUCGGCUCUCGCAUCGAUGAAGAACGCAGCGAAAUGCGAUACUUGGUGUGAAUUGCAGGAUCCCGCGAACCAUCGAGUCUUUGAACGCAAGUUGCGCCCGAAGCCUUUCGGCCGAGGGCACGUCUGCCUGGGUGUCACUCAACCGUCGCCCCAGCUCCCUUCCACCGGAAGGGG
rnacentral:rRNA from 1 species